AUGGGGGUUCACCGGGUUAGUCCGGAUGGUCCCAAGCUCCUGACCUCGUGAUACAGCUGCCUCAGCCUCCCAAAGUGCUGGGAUUACAGGCGUGAGCCCCCGCGCCUGGUCCCGAGAACAUCUUUAUACUGUUUGGAUAACCCUCCUACCAGCAUCUUCCAGUGGUUAAUGAUAAGGAUCAAGAAGGGCCUCCUAAGCUAGUAGCUAUUAAUAAUUGUAAACAUGUAUUAUAUACUUAAUGCUCACACUGUGUUGAGUACUUUACAUGAUUAUCUCAUUUAGUCCUCACAACAAAUCUUUGAGGUAAGUAUUACUAUUAAUUGCAUUUGGCAGAAAAGCAAACUGAAGUUUAGUGAAGGCAAAUAACUUGCUCAAGAUGACACUGCUGGUAAGUAGCAGAGCUAGAAGGAACCUGGAAACCUGACUUCCCAGCUCAAGUGCUAAUGAUGGCAUUACUUUGAGUAUUGUUACUGGGACAUCCUCCUGAUCUACUCUAAAAAUCUAGAUCACCAACAUAUAUAUUCCUGGAUGCAGUAUUGCUAAGAACUGGUUUUAACCUCUAGAUCUGUGUUUGAGGACUCACAGAUUCAUUACUGGUCCACAUAUACCAGCAGGGCUUCUGCAUGAUACCCAGUAGGACUUUCUUAAAAUUGUGGAAAGCAUUCAGUGUAUCUUGAGAUGUACUAGUCUUAUGGAUAAUUCAUCUCUUCAGUUCUAUCCAGACCACCUCAUAAAGGAGAAUAUAUUAAGCAUUGCCAGGCUGCAUCAUCAAGCUAUGAAAAAUAGCUUGCCUCUCAAGCCUUCCCUACUUCCCCAUAUCAUUGGAAGCUUUACUUCUAUCCCUGUGGUAUCAGGGAAUAUCUUACUCCUAGAGGAGCCAGACAACAGUGACUUCCACAAUAGCCUCAUGUGGGAGUGAGAGUUAAUAACUUGAAAGAUGGCCGGGUACGGUGGCUCACACCUGUAAUCCCAGCACUUUGGGAGGCUGAGGCGGGCAGAUCACGAGGUCAAGACCAUCCUGGCCCACAUGGUGAAACCCUGUCUCUACUAAAAAUACAAAAAUUAGCUGGGCAUGGUGGCGCGCAUCUGUAGUCCCAGCUACUCGGGAGGCUGAGGCAAGGACAAUUGCUUGAAUCCGGAAGGCAGAGGUUGCAGUUAGCUGAGAUCACACCACUGCACUCCAGCCUGGCGACAGAGCAAGAUUCCAUCUCAACAAAACAAAACAAAACAAAACAAAACAAAACAAAAACUUGAAAGACUGCCCAAGAAAGGUGAAGGUUAGAUCUCAGGGGAUGAUCUUGAAGCAACUGAGACAGACCUAGAAACUUGCCUCAUAUGAUACAAGAAGACCCAGCUUCUUUGUCUCUACCCUGUAGGCACUGGGUAGACAGGUAGGUGAUAUUUUACUUCACAAACAAGGGAACUAAAAGUAUGAACAUUUCUCUGUUCCUCAUUAUCUCUGCCCUAAAAUAUUUUGGCUAUCUAGCCCCAGUUAGAGCGGACUGGCACUGUCUGGUACAGGAGGUAUGCAGCAGAUGUUCUGCAUCUGAGCUCCAUUAUGACUGUCCCCCAACAAAUCAUCCCCCAGCCAGCCCAAGGGAACGUGGAAUUCAGAGGGGAACUGUUCUAACCAGGAGCAGCCAAUUAGAUCCAGGCCAGAGAAACCCAUAUCCAGGCACUUUAUCUUUGUCCUAAAAUGAACCUAGCUAACCUCUUCAGGCUAUCCAAAACCCUGACCACUCCACAUAGAGAGACAUUUGCUAGCCUUACAUGUCACUUUCCACUGUACACAUACCAAUGACACCUGAACCAGAUAUAAAGACAGACCCACAAAGGUUCUGCUGAGCCUAAGGAUCUGCUCACCUAUUUCUGAUCCCGAAUGCCCCUGGGACAUCUUCCAGAAUGUGUGCCUCCAAAUAAAGUCUAGAAAAUUGGAGGAAAAUUUAAAUGCAGAUGAAUCGAGAAGGAAUAAAAGCCAUUAGAAAUUCUGGGAAAACAAGAAAUAUAGAAGAAAGUCACGGGGCUGGGUGUGGUAGCUCACGCCUGUAAUCCCAGCACUUUAGGAGGCCAAGUCGGGCGGAUCACCUGAGGUCAGGAGUUCGAGGCCAGCCUGGCCAACAUGGAGAAACCCUGCCUCUACUAAAAAUACAAAGAUUAGCCAGGCGUGGUGGCACAUGCCUGUAAUCCCAGCUACUCAGGAGGCUGAGCAGGAGAAUCGCUUGAACUGGAGAGGUGGAGGUUGCGGUAAGCUGAGAUCGCACCACUGCACUCCAGCAUGGGUAACAAGAGCAAAACUCCAUCUCAAAAAAAAACAAACAAAAAAAAACAAAAGUCACAACCCAAAUAUGAAGCAAACAAACUUUCAGAUGAUGAUGGUACAGUGUGUUUAUAACACUAACAACUCACUUUUCUCCCCACACAUAGCAAUCGUAAAAAUAAAAACAGCCAGGCACAGUGGCUCAUGCCUAUA
rnacentral:lncRNA from 1 species